AAUCGGCGCAAGCCUGAUGCAGCCAUGCCGGGUGUGUGAAGAAGGCCUUCGGGUUGUAAAGCACUUUCACUCAAGAGGAAAGGUUAGUAGUUAAUUCCUGCUAGAUGUGACGUUACCGACAGAAGAAGCACCGGCUAACUCGGUGCCAGCAGCCGCGGUAAUACGGAGGGUGCGAGCGUUAAUCGGAAUUACUGGGCGUAAAGCGUACGCAGGCGGUUUAUUAAGCGAGAUGUGAAAGCCCCGGGCUCAACCUGGGAACUGCAUUUCGAACUGGCAAACUAGAGUGUGAUAGAGGGUGGUAGAAUUUCAGGUGUAGCGGUGAAAUGCGUAGAGAUCUGAAGGAAUACCGAUGGCGAAGGCAGCCACCUGGGUCAACACUGACGCUCAUGUACGAAAGCGUGGGGAGCAAACAGGAUUAGAUACCCUGGUAGUCCACGCCGUAAACGAUGUCUACUAGAAGCUCGGAGCCUCGGCUCUGUUUUUCAAAGCUAACGCAUUAAGUAGACCGCCUG
rnacentral:rRNA from 1 species